rnacentral:rRNA from 1 species
CCUACGGGAGGCAGCAGUGGGGAAUAUUGCACAAUGGGGGAAACCCUGAUGCAGCGACGCCGCGUGAGUGAGGAAGUAUUUCGGUAUGUAAAGCUCUAUCAGCAGGGAAGAAAAUGACGGUACCUGACUACGAAGCCCCGGCUAACUACGUGCCAGCAGCCGCGGUAAUACGUAGGGGGCAAGCGUUAUCCGGAUUUACUGGGUUGAAAGGGAGCGUAGACGGUUAAUCAAGUCAGAAGUGAAAAUCCAGGGCUCAACCUUGGGACUGCUUUUGAAACUGAGUAGCUAGAGUGCAGGAGAGGUAAGCGGAAUUCCUAGUGUAGCGGUGAAAUGCGUAGAUAUUAGGAGGAACACCAGUGGCGAAGGCGGCUUACUGGACUGUAACUGACGUUGAGGCUCGAAAGCGUGGGGAGCAAACAGGAUUAGAUACCCCAGUAGUC